CUCCACCGUACCGGAGGCGUCGGCGGGGCAGGCGAUGGCGGCCAUGUCUCCGGCGGGGGUCCUCUUCCACACCACGUCUCCGGUGCUCUGCUCAGGGCAGAUCUCAUGGGGCUCUGAUAGGUUCCAAAGGCAAAGGAUGGACGCCUCUGCUCUCCCUUGUCACCGGGGCAGGGGUCUCCGCCAAAGAAAGGCCCCUCGCACGCCCUCUGCCUCUGCUGGACGCCGCCACCGCACGUCUUGCUGCAGCCGCCCCAGGCGCUCCACGAAUGCCAGCGUCCGUCAACUACGUCGGGGGGAGACCACAUUGAGUUUCCAGGCGCGAUCUGUGUCUAUUGGUCGGAACCUCGCGGAUUGAAGGUCAGUGUUGGGUUCCUACCGGGACAAUCUUUCAGGAAGCAGUUGGCCGUCUCCUUCCAGCCGCCGUGGCACUCGGAGCCGCCGUAGGAGGGGCCGUUGCACUCCCGCGUUCUCUGCAUGGUGCCGUUGGAGCAGGUGGUGGAGCAGGGGCUCCAGGCGGACCACUCGUUCCAGGAUCCGUCCACUAGAGGGAGGCAGAGGAACAUGCAUCAUGGGGGGGGGGUUCUGGAGACAAACGCUCACUGAUGCCACUAGUGCUUCACAUGACCUACUUAAGCUGACUUUAAGAACCUGCCGACCUCUAACUGCUUUUAUGCUGACAGUGAUCAACUCACGAGGACCACACUGACAGUAAUCCAGUAAAACCAGGGGUCACAUAUAGUGCAGACAAAAAAAAAUAAAA